GCCUGGAUAGCUCAGUUGGUUAGAGCGUGGCGCUGAUAACACCAAGGUUGCAGGUUCAAUCCCCGUUGCAGGGG